AUGGACAGACAGAUGGAUGCAUGCCUCCCCCCAACCAUGAGACCUGGGGGAGGGGCUUUCUUCCCACCUCUCAGGCCAAACAACUCACUUCCUACUGUCUGCUCUGGUUUUCAUUUAGAAGAUCUUGAAAAUGUUAGCAAAAAUGAAUCACGGCUCCUGUGGAGGGCCGUUUGGCAGCUCCUCAAACACCCAAAGCCAGUCCCCACGCAACACCGUGGUCCCCCUCCUGCAUCUGCGCCCAGAAGAAGCGGGAGCAGAGUCUCGGGGGGACAUUUGUUGGCCAGCGCACGUCACCCUGACAGCCCGCAUGGGCCCUGGCCCGGGGGUUGUCACGGAGGCCCGGGGACCAGCCUGCGGGCUGUACGCACGGGGAUCGCACAAGGGGCCGGUCCCGCCCCACACGUGCCUCCGGGUGUCGUGCUCAGUGACAGAGGCCAGGCGCCGAAGGACGGCCGUCUUCCUCGAGGUCCCUGCAAGGGGCGCCAAGCGGAGUCCAUUGGGAUCAGCCCGAGGUGUGAGGAUGGUGUCGUGCCCAUGGGAGCUGGGGGAGCUGGGCCCCCGGGGGGCAGGACGGGGCAGGCGGAGUCUCAGGCCUUGGGGCAGCUGCUGACCAAGGCCGGGAGCCAACAUGGCCUGUUAGAGGCACCGGGCCGUGAGCUGACAUGCUGGGGUACCCCACCCGCUCCGACUGGCUGCAGGGACAGGGCCUCACAGCCUGGCUCUGGUCACCCUGUCUUUGUCCCCUGGCCCAGCUGCCCACCUCUCUGGCUCCCCUACUCUACCCAGGGAGACUAGGAUGUCGAUGGCGGUCCAUGGCUAUCAGCGGGGUGGCUCUGGUCGGAACAGCCCCUGCACUCAGGCCACAGGUCCUCAAGCCCCACAGCUCGGCCACUGCAUCCAGAAGCCCCAUGGCUGAGUAUGAGGGGGUGAGGCUCCUACUGCAGCUAGGAUGAGCCUGGACUCAAACCCAGGGCUCUCCCCCGGUGCAGAGGGCUUCCCCACAUGCUGGACGUUUGCCUGAGGUCUGUCCUCGGCUGGGCACUGGCUUCACCCACUCGUGUGACCUUGACUCUGACCUCCAGGCUAAUCACAGUUUCUCAACAACCACCUCGGGGCAGGGUCUCAGAGUGUCCGGGGCUUCCAGCCUCUGCGUCAUGAAAAAUCCCCUUGAGGGUUUUCGGCCCUGUAGAAGCCCAUUUUUAAAACACUGUCUCCUGUGGGGCUCCUGGGUGGCUCGGCUGGGUAAGCGUCUGACUCCUGAUCUCAACCCAGGUCUGAUCGUUCAAGCCCCGUGCUGGGCUCCAACGCUCAGCGUGGAGCCUACUUAAAAUAAUACUUAGUCUCCUGAAAAACUUGCAUUUGUAACCACUGUUUUCCUGCUAUAUACUAAUUAAAAACAUACACAGUAUCUCUCCAUUUGAGGCUAGUGUUAACUGCUGGAGUUCAUCAAUUUCCAGCAAAGUCACUAUCUUUAGUUUUGGUAAACUUUUACAUCUUGGUUAAAAGUAAACUCUAGGCUUUGAGAAAUGCCAGAGCUAGCCCCUCGGCCUGGCUCUCUUGGCACACGCUUGGGGAUCAGGGAAGUCUGGGGUGGGAACCUCCUUGCUUUAUAGGAAACGAAGACUCACAUGGGCCAUGUCCUUGACCAAGGUCACAGGCUAAACUCCGAGCUUUGACUCUGAGUUCCCCCAGGGCAGUGACAUCCGUGUCCAGCUGCCCCAGGAAGCCGUCCUCAAUCCGGACUCACCUGGAGCCCACAAUGCCCUCGGAGCACUUGAGGAGGCCUACGGGCAGGGCUUGACCAGAUCGAGCGAGAGACUCUGAACUGGAAAGACUGCUUCUAGGCUGCUCCUUGGCCUCAGGAUCACCUCCAGGGGUCUGGUUUAUUUACCUGGUGGAACGGUUAUCAGGUUAUCAAGCAAGUUGGUUUGGAGAUUUAGAGCAAAUAAUGAAUGGGGAGUCCCCCUCCCAGGACCUACCUCACACUCAGGCUGUACCCAAAGGCCACUCCCCUCCUUUCUAGGCAUGCACAAAGCCCCUCACCCUGCAAAUCUGUGCCUGCGAACACUCCGGCUAAGACCUGUCCUUUCCCCGUUUUAAUUUAAGCGGUUCAGGGGGGACCUAAGUCUCUCUCCCAACACAGAGAACUUGGUUACUGGGGUCACAUGGAGCGGGGGCACUGCGGCUGAGUCAGGCCGCGGCCCUGCUGCCCACUACGGGCUGGCGGGUGAGACACGGAGCUUCCCGGUGCCUCAGUCUCUGCAAAUGUGGAACAGAUGCUGGUCGUCUCUACCCCAGGGCUUUGUUUGGGUACGUAGGUGAACUAACGCACGCAUCUAAUAAAGUCGGGGAAUCUCAGCGAGGACCA
rnacentral:lncRNA from 12 species